AGGUUCGGAAAUAUAACCUCCAACGUUCAUAUCGUCGACGGUUUUCCAGGGUCAAAGUCAUAACGGUGUUCAUAGCCGUUGCCCGCCAUUCUCGGAUGCCAGCUGUCUUGGCUUCCGCGUGUUUCACUCGGACUUAUAUAUAUCUCCCGCACUCAACUCACACUCACACUCACACUCUCUUCUUCAGCACAUUCUCACAUUAGAACCAGAGCGCUCCAUCAACGCCCUCUUCCCUUCCCUUUCCAGUCUUCGUUGCCCAAACCGAAGGCUACAUAGUUACAAUGCUCCAUCAACGGCCUCUUCCCUUUCAGUCUUCGUUGCUCAAACCAAACGCUACAUUGUUACCAGGCAAUCGGAGGAUGAGAGAGCAGAUUCGAAAGGAGUUUCUCGCCUCGUCUCGGUGACGAAAAAUAGUGGUAGAAGAAAGAGUUUGGUCAGCUGAAGAGGAAAAGGCAGAGUCUAAGAAAGAAUUUGGUGCAGAGUCUAAAGAUAUGAACAAUGGUGGACAUAGAUGGAGAUAACAAAGUUGAGGUCAUUCUACAAAGAAUCCAACUAGAGUUGCUACUUUAAACACUCCACGUAAGAAAUUUUCUAUUUGACAUCAUGAACUACCAUAUGUCCGGUCUGGUUCUCGCAGGAAUUACAUUUUUGACAAUGUUGUGGUCCUAACAAGGUUAGAUUCCUGUGUUUAACUUUUAUUAUGGGUUUGUUUUUCUUUUUUUGAUGUUCUUUGUGGUUCGGAUAUCAUGUUUUUAUUGUUUUAAACUACAAUGAAGGAUUAUAAUGAAUGUUAAUGUU